UACGUAGGGGGCGAGCGUUGUCCGGAGUUACUGGGCGUAAAGAGCUCGUAGGUGGUUUGUUACGUCUGCUGUGAAAACCUAGGGCUUAACCCUGGGCCUGCAGUGGAUACGGGCAGACUAGAGGUAGGUAGGGGAGAAUGGAAUUCCCGGUGUAGCGGUGAAAUGCGCAGAUAUCAGGAGGAACACCGGUGGCGAGGCGGGUCUCUGGCCAUUACUGACGCUGAGGAGCGAAGCGUGGGAGCAACAGGAU
rnacentral:rRNA from 1 species